rnacentral:rRNA from 1 species
GACGUAGGGCGCGAGCGUUGUCCGGAUUUAUUGGGCGUAAAGAGCUCGUAGGCGGCUUGUCGCGUCGACUGUGAAAACCCGAGGCUCAACUUCGGGCUUGCAGUCGAUACGGGCAGGCUAGAGUUCGGCAGGGGAGACUGGAAUUCCUGGUGUAGCGGUGAAAUGCGCAGAUAUCAGGAGGAACACCGGUGGCGAAGGCGGGUCUCUGGGCCGAUACUGACGCUGAGGAGCGAAAGCAUGGGUAGCGAACAGG